GACGAACGCUGGCGGCGUGCUUAACACAUGCAAGUCGAACGGAAAGGCCCUGCUUUUGUGGGGUGCUCGAGUGGCGAACGGGUGAGUAACACGUGAGUAACCUGCCCUUGACUUUGGGAUAACUUCAGGAAACUGGGGCUAAUACCGGAUAGGUGCUCCUGCUGCAUGGUGGGGGUUGGAAAGUUUCGGCGGUUGGGGAUGGACUCGCGGCUUAUCAGCUUGUUGGUGGGGUAGUGGCUUACCAAGGCUUUGACGGGUAGCCGGCCUGAGAGGGUGACCGGCCACAUUGGGACUGAGAUACGGCCCAGACUCCUACGGGAGGCAGCAGUGGGGAAUAUUGCACAAUGGGCGGAAGCCUGAUGCAGCAACGCCGCGUGCGGGAUGGCGGCCUUCGGGUUGUAAACCGCUUUCGCCUGUGACGAAGCGUGAGUGACGGUAAUGGGUAAAGAAGCACCGGCUAACUACGUG
rnacentral:rRNA from 1 species